UUGCGCCACGUAGGACGAGAGGUCAUUAAUUCGAAGUCUAAGGAGAUGACAUGUGUUUGUGUCUGUUAAGUGUUAUUAGGCUUAAGUUCAGAUUAUGUUUUCGGCCCAGAAACUCUGCUAUGCUCUAACCCUAAUAUAAUCUGACGACGCUUUCUCUCCUCUGCGUUUUCGACAAAUCUCACCCAUUACUCCUCAUUUACUUCCAUCCUUUAAUUCAAUCUUAAUGAGAGAACCUAGAUCCUUUCACCUUCCUUUUGCUCCUCAUGUUAUAUAAACCUUCUCCUCGAAUCUCACCUCGAUCCAUUUUCGACAACCUCCAUUCAGCCAAAUCAAGCAAUGGCACUGAAAUCUGAUCAAAUCUCCGGCAAGUUUUAGUUCCAGUGGGCCCUACAUUUUAACGACAUCUCAGGUCCUCAAGUUAUGAGCUGGAAAGCUGAAACCCUUACGAUGUCCUCCCCUGCUAAACUCUGCUGCGGCCAAGUUUUCUCCAAGAAAUAUCUCACUUUCUCAGGCCCUUUGCCUAAUUACUUUUACUGGGAAAUAUAGGCGUUUCCCUUUUCUUUUUGAAACGGAUGUAUGAGUCUCAGAUGAAUUAUGUCAUCUUGGCUGUUUUUAUCUCAACAACUUUAUAUCGUAAUUGGUUAAGUUUCAAUAAAAAAAAUUAUUUUUUUUG